rnacentral:rRNA from 1 species
CCUACGGGAGGCAGCAGUGAGGAAUAUUGGUCAAUGGGCGCAAGCCUGAACCAGCCAUGCCGCGUGCAGGAUGACGCAUCUAUGGUGUGUAAACUGCUUUUGUACGGGAAGAAACCCUGCCACGUGUGGCAGAUUGACGGUACCGUAAGAAUAAGGAUCGGCUAACUCCGUGCCAGCAGCCGCGGUAAUACGGAGGAUCCAAGCGUUAUCCGGAAUCAUUGGGUUUAAAGGGUCCGUAGGCGGUUUUAUAAGUCAGUGGUGAAAUCCGGCAGCUCAACUGUCGAACUGCCAUUGAUACUGUAGGACUUGAAUUAUUGUGAAGUAACUAGAAUAUGUAGUGUAGCGGUGAAAUGCUUAGAUAUUACAUGGAAUACCAAUUGCGAAGGCAGGUUACUAACAAUAUAUUGACGCUGAUGGACGAAAGCGUGGGGAGCGAACAG